CAACAGUCUCAUAUCUAUCUGUAUAUCAUGAUUGAAAGUGUUGUCCAGUCUGGUCCAUGGAAUUUUGAAAUCGCAUUGUCAACAUUGGUAAGUACAUUUAAAUUUGACAGCUAGCUUUUGCACCAAGAACUCCCAGGUGUGUUACCCAAAACGCACCGUGGCCUACAAACAUGGAUUUCCUGGACUUCACUUCUCAAAACACACAAACUCUGACACGUUCACAGUCACCGGACUUUUAAUCAUGUCCACCUGUUCCUAAUCACACCUAUAUAAACAUUCUAUGGAUAUUCAACCAGUAUUGCUCAGUGUGUGGUUACCUGAUCUUACCAAGCUGUACAUUACAUAUACUGAUAUUUUGGUUUUGAUCUUGCAUGCUAUCUCUUUUUUGGAUUUUGGAUUUACCCUGUUGGUGUGGUUUGCUUAUCACCUGAUCUGUGCUGUUUUUUGAUUAUGCCUUCUGCAUUACAAUUUGGAUUUGUCUGCCAGUUCUUACAAUAAACUUCAACUGCAUUUGCAUCUGCUUCAGCCUACCAUUCAUGACUGAUUACUUCACCGUGUCCCAGGAUGCAGAAGAAGGGCAUACCUGACGGACCAUGGUACCAACACAAGGACAACUGGUGGGCGAAUGUUGAAACCUCUUGGCAGAUCGGUUCAAUAAGGUGAACCUGAUUUCACAGGCACUCACCACCACUGCUACACUACAACUGCACAUGCCAGCUCUGCCAGCUAGCUCGCUUAUUCCUCAGCCAGACAAGUAUGCAGGUGAAACCUCCCUUUGUUAAGGCUUUCUGCUGCAAUGCUCACUGUAUUUCACCAGUAAUGCGGGACUGAUGGAGCAGCAGACGAUAGCAGCUCCUAGCAUCCUCUGCCUUCUCACAGGCAAGGCACUAAAUUGGGCCACAGUGGUGUGGUUUAAAGGAGGAGAGCAGCUGACUUUCUAUGACCAGUUCAUACAGUUCUUUCAAUGCAUCUUUGAUCAUUCUCCAGAGGGGAAGUAGAUUGAAGAACAGCUGCUCAAAGGGUCCCAAGGUCCCAGUGGUGGCACCGACGACAGUAGAAAGUCCAGAGACUCACUCAACUCUCAAAAUCUCCUCUGAAUCUUCGGGAAAUGCUCAGUAAUACUAAAGCCUGUCUGCCACCACACCACCCUUAUGACUGCACAACUGAGCUUCUGCUGGGGACCACCCACCCACGCAACUGUAUUUACCCACUCUCUUUCACUGAACUGCACGCCAUGGAAGAAUAUAUUCAGGAAGCUUAUCCACACAUUCUUUCACCAUAUUCACCAACCAUAAAAACCUCAAAACAUCCAAAUGUCUGAAUCCUUGCCAAGCUCGAUGGGCCCUGUACUUUACACAAUUUCAUUUCAACCUGUUAUAUAGACCUAGUUUCAAGAAAACUAAAGUGGCCUCUCUGUUCCGCCUGCACAGUAGCCCAAGAGAGGACAGUGAGGAGGACAUCCUUCGCCACUGGUGCUUCCUGAGUGCAGUCACUUGGGACAUUGACCAGGAGACUGCGUGCACCCCAACAUAGCAGAUUCCUCAGUCAUGGCCUUCCAAUACGCAAUUCAUGCCCACUGCCCUAUGGGGCAAACUCAUCAGUUUCCACCUGGCACAUUCCGCCAUAGCCUCUGGCCACCCAGGUACACAAUGGACAUAUCAUCUGUUAUGGGACAAAUACUGGUGGCCCAAUAUUCUAAGAUACAUUCAGUGUUUGUCUCAUCACAAGCCAAGGUCCCGCAAAACCCUAGCAGCUGGUAAACUCAUGCCCCUGCCCCUGGAUUUCAUCUCGGACCUCCCAGAAUCAGUCAGUACCACUGUCAUCUUUGUCAUCAAAGACCAAUUCUCAAAAACCAUGCACCUCAUCUACUCUUUAACUAUGUGUUAUGUUAUUUCAGAAUCCCGGAAGACAUUGUCAGUGACAGAGGCACUCAGAUCACUUCACGUAUCCAGUUGAGUUUUACGAAAAAACUGGGGGUACACAUGAGUCUAAUCAUGAGGUAUUACCCACAGACCAAUGGGCAGGUAGAGUGGGCCAACCAGGCUUUUUCUCAGGACCUUCUAUGCUGAAAACCAAUAGAAUUAGGCUCAGUUUCUUCUUUGGGCUGAAUAUGCCCAGAUCUCAUUCAGCCACGCAGUAAACCCCUUUCUAAUGUGUGCUCGGUUACGAUCCCCCUCUGUUCCCCUGUAACGCUAACCCCACCGACUCACCAGCCAUGGAUGAGUAGUUCCAAUGGUGCAAAUAGGUGUGGGAGAGCACACAUCAACACCCAGAACAAGUGGCACACACCAAUAAAGAGAAUGCAGGCCUCGAGAAGACAUUAAUACACACCAUACAGAAAGUGUGUCCACAGAGAAUAGUCACUGGAUCCUUGAGUAGAUCCAGACAGAUUGGACAGCUGAACUGGUCCUGAGCCACUGAAAUAUUCACUUCUGCCAUUUUACUGAAAAAUAAACUCACACAGUCACUUACAGCAGCUCACACUUCCUGGUUCAGUCUGUAAGACUGAGGUUUUUCUGUGUGCAGCCCAGGCUUAAUAAUGAGAAACACUAUUUAGCUGUCUAACCAAGUCACAAAAGGUUUAACUUUGAUUUUCUUGUUAUCUUUAAUGGAUUUGUAAGUGAGCAAAUGGGUGAACUCUAUGAGGCAGUGAACUAACCAAUCCGCUGCCAGCUAGGCUCUGUUACAGUUACACCUCUAGGUUAGUGUCUCUGCACGUUCUUUUGGCGCGUGCACCUGUGUAUAGGAGGCUGCGUUAUCCACUUGAGAGUAAAAGAGAGCUGUGCCUGAAUCCACUGUUGUCACGGAGCUAAAGGCAGUGAAUUCUGCUAAAAUGGUCAGGUUUUGGUAAAGAGUUGGAAACAUCGUGCAGAGAUCCUUUCCACGGAAUGAUACAGAUCCCCAUGUUCCAGGCGCUCUUCCAGAGAUUCAUAGAUUCCCAGUCCGGCUGGCUGGGUGGCGAGCCAACCGUGUUUGUGACUCUGACUUUAGACGGAUAGCCAGGAUCAUCUUCUUCAUCUUCAUGGUGGUAGGACAAACACUAACACGAACUAAACAGGGCCCAACAUUGGUGACUGAACUCUUGUCAACAAAGGCAAGUGAAACUGAGGACGAACUAAGCUCAAGGGAAUUUAAAAGGGGAUUUAUUUACGUGUGCACUUUAUUAUUUUAGUUUGUUAUUUUUUUUUCAUAACUGUUUUGUAUAUAUGUAUGUAUCAGCCCAUGUGUGUUUAAUACAUUUUAUGCAAAUGGUCAU